rnacentral:rRNA from 1 species
GUCUUUUUGAGUUUAAUUUAAAGUCUAAUCUGCCCACUGAUAAUUAUUUAAGGGCCGCAGUAUUCUGACUGUGCAAAGGUAGCAUAAUCAUUAGUCUUUUAAUUGAGGGCUUGUAUGAAUGAUUGGACGAGAUAUAAUCUGUCUCAUAAAAAUUUAAAUAGAAUUUUAUUUUUUAGUUAAAAAGCUAAAAUAAAUUUAAAAGACGAGAAGACCCUAUAGAUCUUUAUAAUUAAUUAAUUAAUUUUUUUAGGUUAUUUUUUAAUUUAAUUAAUGAAAUUAUUUUGUUGGGGUGACAAUGAAAUUUAAUGAACUUUCAUUAUUUAAAACCAUUGAUUUAUGAAUAAUUGAUCCAUUAUUAUUGAUUAAAAAUUUAAGUUACCUUAGGGAUAACAGCGUAAUUAUUUUGGAGAGUUCUUAUCGAUAAAAUAGUUUGCGACCUCGAUGUUGGAUUAAGAUUAAUUCUGGGUGUAGCAGUUCAGUUUAUUAAGUCUGUUCGACUUUUAAUUUCUU